GGAGCGAUAUCGAAGUGGUCAUAACGGGACUGACUCGAAAUCAGUUGUACCUCACGGUACCGUGGGUUCGAAUCCCACUCGCUCCGCCA
rnacentral:tRNA from 3 species